AUGGUUGACGGAGUUGAGCGGAUGCUUCGGGGAGUCAGGCAUGUGCCAGGGCUAAGGAGGAAUCUAAUUUCGCUUGGUGUUCUUCAUGAUGGUGGUAUGGAAUUCCGUUGUGAUCGGGAUACGAAGACCAUGGAAAUCAUGGAAGAUGGGGUGACUGUGAUGAUAGGAGAGAGGACGGCUUCGCAUCUUUACAAGUUGCAAGGGAGCACUAUUGCAGGUGGAGCCAUGGGUCACGGUGGCGGCGGGUCUGGCCCGUCGGGUAGCUCUCAGUAA
rnacentral:rRNA from 1 species